UGGGGAAUAUUGGACAAUGGGCGCAAGCCUGAUCCAGCCAUGCCGCGUGAGUGACGAAGGUCUUCGGAUUGUAAAGCUCUUUUUGGCGGGGACGAUAAUGACGGUACCCGCAGAAUAAGCCCCGGCUAACUUCGUGCCAGCAGCCGCGGUAAUACGAAGGGGGCUAGCGUUGUCCGGAAUUACUGGGCGUAAAGCGCACGUAGGCGGACUGAUAAGUCAGGGGUGAAAUCCCGGGGCUCAACCUCGGAACUGCCUUUGAUACUGUUAGUCUCGAGUCCGGAAGAGGUGAGUGGAAUUCCUAGUGUAGAGGUGAAAUUCGUAGAUAUUAGGAAGAACACCAGUGGCGAAGGCGGCUCACUGGUCCGGUACUGACGCUGAGGUGCGAAAGCGUGGGGAGCAAACAGGAUUAGAUACCCCCGUAGUCCCUGAGCGGGCUGGCAAGGCGCAU
rnacentral:rRNA from 1 species